rnacentral:rRNA from 1 species
CCUACGGGAGGCAGCAGUGAGGAAUAUUGGUCAAUGGGCGUAAGCCUGAACCAGCCAAGUCGCGUGAGGGAUGAAGGUUCUAUGGAUCGUAAACCUCUUUUAUAAGGGAAUAAAGUGUGGGACGUGUCCUAUUUUGUCUGUACCUUAUGAAUAAGGAUCGGCUAACUCCGUGCCAGCAGCCGCGGUAAUACUGAGGAUCCGAGCGUUAUCCGGAUUUAUUGGGGUUAAAGGGGGCGUAGGGGGCCUUUUAAGUCAGCGGUGAAAGUCUGUGGCUCAACCAUAGAAUUGCCGUUGAAACUGGGGGGCUUGAGGAUGUUUGAGGCAGGCGGAAUGCGUGGUGUAGCGGUGAAAUGCUGAGAUAUCACGCAGAACCCCGAUUGCGAAGGCAGCCUGCCAGGCCAUGACUGACGCUGAUGCACGAAAGCGUGGGGAUCAAACAGGAUUAGAUACCCGAGUAGUC